rnacentral:lncRNA from 1 species
UCAUAACUGGAUCUUUCCAUUACUUGGUAGCACACAGGAGGAUUUGUUGGAGUGGUUUUUUGUUUUGUUUUGUUCUGCUACUAUUAAGCAAGAUUGCUUCAUAAUCCUUUAAGGGUUUUUUUUAGCCAAGUCUUAUUUACAUAUCCUGGCCAGCAAGCACGUGAUUAACCCAAGGAUGUUGGAGGGAAGGCAGAUGCUACAUCUGAAAAAAAUCUGAUUAUGUUUCAUUCUGGAGAUACAAACAGCCGAGCUGUCAAAAGGACAACAGUCUCUUGGGCCAACAUGACACCAAACUCUCAAACUCUGGAGACCCUCAGAGACAAGGAGGAGGAGCUGCUGAGUUCAAACAAGAACAAUGAAUUCCUCAAGCCCAAGCAAGAAUGUGACAAGGUGUCAACAAAGCCAACCAGGAAGGUGAUGUAUGGCCCAUAAAUCACUUCACAAACCAGGGCUGCAAAGAAAGCACCCAGCAACCCAGAGCCCCGAGUGUGAGUUUUUUCUACUCCUAAACCUUCACACCCCCCACAUCCACCCUCCUCCAGCACCUCACUGACUGCUCACCUGUCACUCCUCCACUGACCAAUUGGCCUACUCAUGGGUGUCAAGAUGGGAAGGCACAUGUUCCUAUCUUGACAGCAGCAGAAAGAAAAAUGGCAGCAGAAGGAAAACAGCAGCAGAAAGAAAAAUUUGACUCAGAUGGGUUGAGAGGGCAAUGGCAAGCAAUCUUGGUACAUGUCAGCUGCAUCUCAG